rnacentral:rRNA from 1 species
UACAGAGGGGGCGAGCGUUAUUCGGAAUUAUUGGGCGUAAAGGGCGCGUAGGCGGCUUUUCAAGUGACGGUUGAAAUCCCUCGGCUUAACCGAGGAACUGCCUGUCAGACUGGAAGGCUUGAGACCGGGAGAGGUGAGUGGAAUUCCCAGUGUAGCGGUGAAAUGCGUAGAUAUUGGGAGGAACACCAGUGGCGAAGGCGGCUCACUGGACCGGAACUGACGCUGAGGCGCGAAAGCGUGGGGAGCAAACAGG